AGGCUGUCUCCACCCGAGACUCAGUGAAAUUGAACUCGCUGUGAAGAUGCAGUGUACCCGCGGCAAGACGGAAAGACCCCGUGAACCUUUACUAUAGCUUGACACUGAACAUUGAGCCUUGAUGUGUAGGAUAGGUGGGAGGCUUUGAAGUGUGGACGCCAGUCUGCAUGGAGCCGGCCUUGAAAUACCACCCUUUAAUGUUUGAUGUUCUAACGUGGACCCGUGAUCCGGGUUGCGGACAGUGUCUGGUGGGUAGUUUGACUGGGGCGGUCUCCUCCUAAAGAGUAACGGAGGAGCACGAAGGUUGGCUAAUCCUGGUCGGACAUCAGGAGGUUAGUGCAAUGGCAUAAGCCAGCUUGACUGCGAGCGUGACGGCGCGAGCAGGUGCGAAAGCAGGUCAUAGUGAUCCGGUGGUUCUGAAUGGAAGGGCCAUCGCUCAACGGAUAAAAGGUACUCCGGGGAUAACAGGCUGAUACCGCCCAAGAGUUCAUAUCGACGGCGGUGUUUGGCACCUCGAUGUCGGCUCAUCACAUCCUGGGGCUGAAGUAGGUCCCAAGGGUAUGGCUGUUCGCCAUUUAAAGUGGUACGCGAGCUGGGUUUAGAACGUCGUGAGACAGUUCGGUCCCUAUCUGCCGUGGGCGCUGGAGAACUGAGGGGGGCUGCUCCUAGUACGAGAGGACCGGAGUGGACGCAUCACUGGUGUUCGGGUUGUCAUGCCAAUGGCACUGCCCGGUAGCUAAAUGCGGAAGAGAUAAGUGCUGAAAGCAUCUAAGCACGAAACUUGCCCCGAGAUGAGUUCUCCCUGAGACUUUAGGUCUCCUGAAGGAACGUUGAAGACGACGACGUUGAUAGGCCGGGUGUGUAAGCGCAGCGAUGCGUUGAGCUAACCGGUACUAAUGAACCGUGAGGCUUAACCUU
rnacentral:rRNA from 1 species